AGAUUGAACGCUAGCGGGAUGCUUUACACAUGCAAGUCGAACGGCAGCGCGGACUUCGGUCUGGCGGCGAGUGGCGAACGGGUGAGUAAUAUAUCGGAACGUGCCCGGUAGCGGGGGAUAACUACGCGAAAGCGUGGCUAAUACCGCAUACGCCCUACGGGGGAAAGGGGGGGAUUCUUCGGAACCUCUCACUAUUGGAGCGGCCGAUAUCUGAUUAGCUAGUUGGUAAGGUAAUGGCUUACCAAGGCGACGAUCAGUAGCUGGUCUGAGAGGAUGACCAGCCACAUUGGGACUGAGACACGGCCCAAAACUCCCGUACGGGAGGCAGCCGAGGUGGGGAAUCUUAGCGACAAAGUGGGACGAAAGCCUAGACCGCAGCCCAUCGCCGCGUGAAUGAGUGAAGGUCUUAAGGAUUAGUAAAUUCUUACGACGG
rnacentral:rRNA from 1 species